ACCCGCUGAAUUUAAGCAUAUAAGUAAGCGGAGGAUAAGAAACUAAAUAGGAUUCCCUCAGUAAUGGCGAAUGAACAGGGAUCAGCUCAGCAUGGAAAUUGGGGCCCUCGGCCUUGAAUUGUAGUCUCGAGAUGCAUCGCCAAUGGAGGCGCAGAUGUAAGCCUCUUGGAAAAGAGCAUCAACGAGGGUGAGAGUCCCGUUUGUCAUCUGCAGUCCCCCAUGCACGGCGUGCCUUCUAAGAGUCGCGUUCCUCGGAAUUGGAGCGUNAAUUGGGUGGUAAAUUUCAUCUCAAGCUAAAUAUUGGUUCGAGACCGAUAGCAAACAAGUACCAUGAGGGAAAGGUGAAAAGGACUUUGAAAAGAGAGUUAAAAGUGCCUGAAAUUGCUGAAAGGGAAGCGAAUGGAACCAGUGUUGCUUGGCGAGAUUGUCGUACGCAUUCGCGUGUGGUGGUUCUUGCCUUGUGUGUCAACGCCAGUUCGCGAUCGAGGAAAACUCCAGGGACAUGGUNGCCUACCCCNGGGUGGGUGAAUGUGCNUGGUAGAACUCAUUUGCGGACUGUUNCCUUCGUGUCUGGUUGCAGUGCUGCUUGAUCNUGUGUUGGCGCUUGGGGGUGGGAGCUCGCUCCUCACACCCUGCCCUUCUAAGGUUCUCAGCNCUUCCCUGACACAUAGACGAUGACUAAAUGGUUCUAUUCGACCCGUCUUGAAACACGGACCAAGGAGUCUAACAUAUGUGCGAGUCCACGGGUGGUAAACCUGCUGGCGCAGUGAAAGCGACUGCUGGGAUUUUUGCACCAGCAACCGACCAAUCAAUUGAGAGAGGUUUGAGUAUGAGCAUAUCUGUUAGGACCCGAAAGAUGGUGAACUAUGCCUGAGAAGGGCAAACUCAGGGGAAACUCUGAUGGAGGCUCGUAGCGAUACUGACGUGCAAAUCGUUCGUCAUACUUGGGUAUAGGGGCGAAAGACUAAUCGAACCAUCUAGUAGCUGGUUCCCUCCGAGUAGCUGGUUCCCUCCGA
rnacentral:rRNA from 1 species